UAGAUAACCUCUUAAUUUGAAAUGUUUUUUUCUAGCUGAGCUAUGGACUAUGGAGUUAGUUAUAUAGAAUUUGCUUGUGUCCUUGAUUUUUAGAUAUUCAAGUAUAUGUCGGAUGGUGCAAAAGCUUGUAAACGUUUUGAAGCAGAUCGAUCCAAGAGACCAUUACAGGAUUGAAAUGACUGGUUCACUGUUAGAAAAGUUCAAUCCAUGCAUGUUGGAGUCCUCAAAUGAGCAGCCUAGAUAUACAUUUGAGGGGAUGGUGACAGGCCAGGUUGGCCCAUCACUUUUGCAUUCCAACUCCAUCAGUCGCUGCUUUGAAGAACUCGAGCUCGGCAGACAUUAAUCCUUCCCUGUUUUGCCUUUACAAGGCCUUCAAAAAAGCCAUGAA